UAGUGUUUAUAUUUAUUUUGGUUUGGGGUGUUUUGUUUUGCCUCAACCUUAAAAUGGCAGCUGACAAAGUAAGCUUUCAGCUGAGUCAGUGAAAUCCCAAGAUAAGAACUGAGCAGAUCCAAGGAGCAGCCAGCUUGAGGACAGAGGGCAGAAACACUGGCAUCUCCAAUGUGUGUGCUGGUGGCAGUGUGCGAACAGGUGUCUGUGCUGGUGGUAGUGUGUGAACAGGUGUCUGUGAUGGUGGUAGUGUGUGAACAGGUGUCUGUGAUGGUGGUAGUGUGUGAACAGGUGUCUGUGAUGGUGGUAGUGUGUGAACAGGUGUCUGUGCUGGUGGUAGUGUGUGAACAGUUGUGUGUGAUGGUGGUAG